rnacentral:rRNA from 1 species
AACGAACGCUGGCGGCAGGCCUAACACAUGCAAGUCGAGCGAGGACUUCGGUCCUAGCGGCGGACGGGUGAGUAACGCGUGGGAACGUGCCCUUUGCUUCGGAAUAGCCCUGGGAAACUGGGAGUAAUACCGGAUGAGCCCUUUGGGGGAAAGAUUUAUCGGCGAAGGAUCGGCCCGCGUUGGAUUAGGUAGUUGGUGGGGUAAUGGCCUACCAAGCCGACGAUCCAUAGCUGGUUUGAGAGGAUGAUCAGCCACACUGGGACUGAGACACGGCCCAGACUCCUACGGGAGGCAGCAGUGGGGAAUCUUAGACAAUGGGGGAAACCCUGAUCUAGCCAUGCCGCGUGGGCGAUGAAGGCCUUAGGGUUGUAAAGCUCUUUCAGCUGGGAAGAUAAUGACGGUACCAGCAGAAGAAGCCCCGGCUAACUCCGUG